rnacentral:rRNA from 1 species
CCUACGGGUGGCAGCAGUGAGGAAUAUUGGUCAAUGGGCGCGACCCUGAACCAGCCAAGUCGCGUGAAGGAUGACGGUCCUCCGGAUUGUAAACUUCUUUUAUAGGGGAGUAAAAUACGCCACGUGUGGCUUUUCGUGUGUACACCAUGAAUCAGCAUCGGCUAACUCCGUGCCAGCAGCCGCGGUAAUACGGAGGGACCGCGCGUUAUCCGGUUUUAUUGGGUUUAAAGGGUGCGCAGUCGGGUUGUUAAGGUAGUGGUGAAAGUUUGGGGCCCAACCGUAGAACUGCAGUUGAAACUGGGAGUCUUGAGUGCGCGAGAGGUAGGCGGAAUUCGUGGUGUAGCGGUGAAAUGCGUAGAUAUCACGAAGAACUCCGAUUGCGAAGGC